rnacentral:rRNA from 1 species
CCUACGGGAGGCAGCAGUGGGGAAUCUUGCGCAAUGGGCGAAAGCCUGACGCAGCAACGCCGCGUGCGGGAAGAAGGCUUUCGGGCUGUAAACCGCUUUCAGCAGGAACGAAAAUGACGGUACCUGCAGAAGAAGGAGCGGCCAACUAUGUGCCAGCAGCCGCGGUGAUACAUAGGCUUCAAGCGUUGUCCGGAUUUAUUGGGCGUAAAGAGUUCGUAGGCGGUCAAGUAAGUCGGGUGUGAAAAUUCUGGGCUCAACCCAGAGACGCCACCCGAUACUGCUUAACUUGAGUUCGAUAGGGGAGUGGGGAAUUCCUAGUGUAGCGGUGAAAUGCGCAGAUAUUAGGAGGAACACCGGUGGCGAAGGCGCCACUCUGGAUCGAUACUGACGCUGAGGAACGAAAGCAUGGGUAGCAAACAGGAUUAGAUACCCUGGUAGUCCAUGCCGUAAACGGUGGGCACUAGGUGUGGGUUUCUAUUAACGAAAUCCGCGCCGUCGCUAACGCAUUAAGUGCCCCGCCUGGGGAGUACGGUCGCAAGCUAAAACUCAAAGGAAUUGACGGCUGNGAGUGCGAGCGACGACGAGGAGAG